rnacentral:rRNA from 1 species
GACGAACGCUGGCGGCGUGCCUAACACAUGCAAGUGGAGCGACGAACCAGGCUUCGGCCUGGGGCAAAGCCGCGAACGGGUGAGUAACACGUGGGUAACCUGCCCUGAUGAUUGGGACAACCCGAGGAAACUCGGGCUAAUACCAAAUGUGCCCUUCGGCCACAAGGCCGCUGGGGAAAGAAGCUUCGGCCUCCGCAUCUGGAUGGGCCCGCGGCCCAUUAGCUUGUUGGUGAGGUAACGGCUCACCAAGGCGACGAUGGGUAGCUGGUCUGAGAGGACGAUCAGCCACACUGGGACUGAGACACGGCCCAGACUCCUACGGGAGGCAGCAGUGGGGAAUCUUGCGCAAUGCGCGAAAGCGUGACGCAGCAACGCCGCGUGGGG